UGGCUCAGGACGAACGCUGGCGGCGUGCCUAAUACAUGCAAGUCGAGCGGAAUCGAUGGAGUGCUUGCACUCCUGAGAUUUAGCGGCGGACGGGUGAGUAACACGUAGGCAACCUGCCCUCAAGACUGGGAUAACUACCGGAAACGGUAGCUAAUACCGGAUAGGAUAUUUGGCUGCAUGGCCGAAUAUGGAAAGGCGGAGCAAUCUGUCACUUGAGGAUGGGCCUGCGGCGCAUUAGCUAGUUGGUGGGGUAAUGGCCUACCAAGGCGACGAUGCGUAGCCGACCUGAGAGGGUGAACGGCCACACUGGGACUGAGACACGGCCCAGACUCCUACGGGAGGCAGCAGUAGGGAAUCUUCCGCAAUGGACGAAAGUCUGACGGAGCAACGCCGCGUGAGUGAUGAAGGUUUUCGGAUCGUAAAGCUCUGUUGCCAGGGAAGAACGCCAGAGAGAGUAACUGCUCUUUGGGUGACGGUACCUGAGAAGAAAGCCCCGGCUAACUACGUGCCAGCAGCCGCGGUAAUACGUAGGGGGCAAGCGUUGUCCGGAAUUAUUGGGCGUAAAGCGCGCGCAGGCGGUUCUUUAAGUCUGGUGUUUAAACCCGGAGCUUAACUUCGGGACGCACUGGAAACUGGGGAACUUGAGUGCAGAAGAGGAGAGUGGAAUUCCACGUGUAGCGGUGAAAUGCGUAGAUAUGUGGAGGAACACCAGUGGCGAAGGCGACUCUCUGGGCUGUAACUGACGCUGAGG
rnacentral:rRNA from 1 species